GUCGGGAAUUUUGGGCAAUGGGCGAAAGCCUGACCCAGCAACGCCGCGUGAGGGAUGAAGUAUUUCGGUAUGUAAACCUCGAAAGAAUGGGAAGAAUAAAUGACGGUACCAUUUAUAAGCUCCGGCUAACUACGUGCCAGCAGCCGCGGUAAUACGUAGGGAGCAAGCGUUGUUCGGAUUUACUGGGCGUAAAGGGCGCGUAGGCGGCGCGGUAAGUCACUUGUGAAAUCUCUGAGCUUAACUCAGAACGGCCAAGUGAUACUGCUGUGUUAGAGUGCGGAAGAGGCAACCGGAAUUCUUGGUGUAGCGGUGAAACGCGUAGAUAUCAAGAGGAACACCUGAGGCGAAGGCGGGUUGCUGGGCCGACACUGACGCUGAUGCGCGAAAGCCAGGGGAGCAAACG
rnacentral:rRNA from 1 species